CGGUGAAUACGUUCCCGGGCCUUGUACACACCGCCCGUCACACCAUGAGAGUUGGAAAUACCCGAAGCCUGUGAGCUAACAGUAAUGAGGCAGCAGUCGAAGGUAGAGCCAAUGAUUGGGGUGAAGUCGUAACAAGGUAAC
rnacentral:rRNA from 1 species